rnacentral:rRNA from 1 species
UCGCCCUUAGAGUUUGAUCCUGGCUCAGGACGAACGCUGGCGGCGUGCUUAACACAUGCAAGUCGAACGUGAUUUUUGUGGAAAUUCUUUCGGGAAUGGAAAUGAAAUGAAAGUGGCGAACGGGUGAGUAACACGUGAGCAACCUACCUUACACAGGGGGAUAGCCGUUGGAAACGACGAUUAAUACCGCAUAAGACCACAGCACCGCAUGGUGCGGGGGUAAAAACUCCGGUGGUAUGAGAUGGACCCGCGUUCGAUUAGCCAGUUGGCGGGGUAACGGCCCACCAAAGCGACGAUCGAUAGCCGAUCUGAGAGGAUGACCGGCCACAUUGGGACUGAGACACGGCCCAAACUCCUACGGGAGGCAGCAGUGGGGAAUAUUGCACAAUGGGGGAAACCCUGAUGCAGCGACGCCGCGUGAGUGAAGAAGUAUUUCGGUAUGUAAAGCUCUAUCAGCAGGGAAGAAAAUGACGGUACCUGAGUAAGAAGCCCCGGCUAACUACGUGCCAGCAGCCGCGGUAAUACGUAGGGGGCAAGCGUUAUCCGGAUUUACUGGGUGUAAAGGGAGCGCAGACGGCUCUGCAAGUCUGAAGUGAAAGCCCGCGGCUUAACCGCGGGACUGCUUUGGAAACUGCAGGGCUUGAGUAUCGGAGGGGCAGGCGGAAUUCCUAGUGUAGCGGUGAAAUGCGUAGAUAUUAGGAAGAACACCGGUGGCGAAGGCGGCCUGCUGGACGAAAACUGACGUUGAGGCUCGAAGGCGUGGGGAGCAAACAGGAUUAGAUACCCUGGUAGUCCCCGCGGUAAA